UCUCUAUCUCAUCCACAAAAACCCUCUCUACUCUCUUCUCAUUUUCUCUUCUUCCUUUUUCUUCUUCUUCUUCUUCUGCUACUAUGCCUACUAAGGUUCUCUUAUCUCAACUUCGCACUUCUUUCACUUUCACCAUGAACCCUCUUUCUUCACGCGCCACGCUUCCCAUUUUCUCACCCAUCUUAUUCUCUUUCAACCUCAAACACCUUCCCCUCCAAAACGCACCGUUUCAUCUUCGCCCAUUAUCCACCCACAGUAGCAGUGGUAGCAGAGGAAAGGUUCGUGCUUCCAAGAGUCUUAUUGAUGAAGAGUCUGAACUCAGUGGCUGGGUUAGCGAGUUAAGGACCGAUUCCUACCGUGGUCGACUCACCAGUGAUGAUGAUGAUAAUAGGGACUCUGUCAGAGGAAGAGGAAGUGGAAUGGGAAGAGGAAGAGGCGGAGGAAGAGGAGGAGGAAGAGGAAGGGGUGGUAGUGGUGGCGGUGGUGGUGGUAGAAUCGAUGAGUCAACUCGGAGGGGAACUCGUGACUCGUUUGACUCUGGUAACCGAGGAAGGGGGAGUGUAAGUGGAAGAGGACGUGGAAGAGGAAGGGAUAUGAGGGGUGAGUCAACUCGGAGGGAAACUCGUGACCCGCUUGACUCGUUCUCAAGGAGAAAUUCAAGGGCUAUUCAGAAUUUUAAUGGUGAGAAAGAUGAAUUCCGUUCUUCAAGGAAUAAUAAUAAUAAUAGUGAUAAUAGGGAAGCUGUGUUUGGGAAGAGUAGUAGAAGAGGAGUGGAAUUGAGGAACGCAACUAGAAUGUCUUCUCAAUCGAAGAGUGAGGAAGAGGAUGAGGAUGAAGAUGAUGAUGAGGAUGAGGUGGUAGAUCGGUUCAAUAGUCGUGGCUUCGAUGAAUUUCUCAGUGAUGAUGAUGAUGAGAGUGAAGGUAGUGAGGAAGAUGAUGAGAUAUUGAGUAAGAGCAAAACUGCUUUGUUUGGAAAUGAGAAAACAACUCCAAGAGCUGCUUCAUCUGGGGGUUCUGAGUCUUAUUUGAGUGAUACCAGGUAUGUAUGUUAUUCCGAAAUUAGAAUCGAAAAUGAUCAUUAUAAUUUAAGUAUUGGGUCUUGUUUGUUUGCCUUAAAGCUAAGCACUUUCAGAUUUUCUAUGGGUGAUAGUCAAUAGUCAUACACUAACCUAAGGCAGUUUUUGGUUGCUGUGAUAGCUAAGGAUUGAGCACAAUGUUUGGUAUAUUUUACAAAUAGAACAAAACAGGAGUUAAAAGAAUGAGACCUUAUUUUCACCAAAAAGGGUAGAACCAAAGAUAACAACAGCAUAGGCCAUUACAUUCCAUUAUGUCCCGGUGUUCUACUUCUACUUCUAUACAUGUCCGGGGCCAUGAAAUUAGAACAAAAGAAUCAUUGUAUAAGUAACUCAUCCUUAAAUGAUUAGACUUUGCAUACGGCUUCUUUUAAGUUUAAUUGGACCCUGUUUUAGUUGCAUAUAUAAUUGAUUAAGGUGUUGGACAGAUAGGAUGCAACUUUACUUUACUAGCUACUUUCAUUUCAUGUUUCCUAUGGUGUGAAUUUUGAAAUUGGUGGGGUAUUUGUGCACAAUUCCAUGGUGGGCACAUAUUAAGAUCCCAAUCUCUUCUAUUGACAAAGAAGGAUAGGAAUAUAACUAAUAUACAGAGAAAGGUGAGUCUUGUGCUUAUACAUUCAGGAUGUUGACUUCUUGUAAUUCUGACGUACAAUUGGUCCUUCUUAUCCUAAUUACAAUAUAUUGCUCUUGUAUUCUGUGUGUCUGAUUCUUGAGAUAUGAUGCCACCACAGAUUCGACCAAUGUUCAGUCUCCCCACUAUCAUUAAAAGCAGUAAAGGAUGCUGGGUAUGAGAAAAUGACUGUUGUGCAGGCAGCAACUCUUCCAAUUAUACUCCAAGGUUUGUCUUUUUUUCUUGGCUAUAAUAUAAUGUCAUUUAUUGUGGCUGUGUUUUGUCUAAUUGUAACAUAUCAUGUUUGCUGAUUCUGACAUACCCUGCACCUAUUCUUUUGAGAUCCUUCUUGUGUGGAGCUUAUAAUUUUGGGUGCUAUCAUUGAACUAUUUGAAGAAUCAGUAUUUAGAAUAUGGUGCUAUCCCUAAUUUUCAGCAAUUAGCAAGAAAGCAACUUAUCACAUGUUUGAUGUGAUUCUUGUAUCUGUUAAGAGUUUAUUUAUUAUUAUGGUAUUUACUCCGAUUAACUAUUAUAUCUAGGUAAGGAUGUUCUCGCCAAGGCUAGAACAGGCACCGGAAAAACAGUAGCCUUUUUGGUAAGUCUCUUAACUUAUGUUUGCCUGAGUAAAUUAUUGGUUACUCCUAGGCCUCUGUAUCAUUUGCAUUUUUCUUCACAAUUGUUUUAUGACUGACAACUACUGCAGCGUACAAAUUAUACUUAAGCUAUAUUUGGAAUAAGCGAACUACUUAUUUAGACUUCUCUGCUUGAUUCCCCUGAGCUUCAAAAUUGGAUAUCUUGUCAUGAUAUGGGGCAUAUCUUUUUCUGCGUUGUUUUUAGUUUUUGACCUUUUGUUUUCUGGGCAUGGGACUGCUUGAACGUCAACAUGCUAGCACACUUUUUUGAGCCUGAAAACAAUUGAUUGUACCUGUUGUUGUAGUGAUGGAUUAUAUUUUUGAGUUUACUUAUUAUGUUUUUUAUUCAGCUUCCAUCAAUUGAAGCUGUUGCAAAAUUACCGCCAAGUGAUCGUGAUCAAAGGCGACCACCAAUUCAUGUACUUGUCAUAUGCCCAACCAGAGAACUUGCAAGCCAAGCUGCUACAGAAGCCACUAAACUGCUGAAAUACCAUCCUACCAUUGGUGUUCAAGUUGUGAUUGGAGGCACAAGACUUGCUUUAGAGCAGAAACGCAUGCAAGCUAACCCUUGCCAGGUAAAUCCUUUUAUAACCAAUUUUUUAUUUAGUGUUUUCCCUAUAUUACUGAACAGUCUUUACUUGAAUUUUAUGUUUUUUUAUUUUAUAUGUUGUAGCCAUUACAAUUAUUAGGAUAUGAUUUAUUUAUUUUCCCUUUCAAUAAAACAUCUUAGAACCUUUUUCAUCACCAGUCAUAAGCUUUUAAACUGAUUUUCCAUCAAACAUCAACAAAAAGGAGAAACAAAUUUACACACUCGAGAGUUUAAUAGUGAUAUAGAAACUGACUCUGACAUUCACUUUUGUUAGCUAGAAGCCUUGAACCCACAUCGCCUUUGAUAUAUUAAUUUGAUUCAAGGAUUCUAUAAAAAAAUUAUUUGCUUGAAACUGUCAUUAUGAAAUUAUAAUGAUGGUUCAUGCCAGCUUGUGCAAAUAAGCAUGUUAUAGCAAACAAGUUUUCUGGACUUAACAUUAUUACUCUGUAUACUGUACAGAUCCUUGUUGCUACACCUGGAAGGCUUAGAGAUCAUGUUGAGAAUACUGCUGGUUUUGCAACUAGGCUAAUGGGUGUGAAGGUCUUGGUGCUUGAUGAAGCUGAUCAUUUACUAGACAUGGGAUUUCGCAAAGACAUCGAAAAGAUAAUUGCAGCAACCCCUAAACAACGACAAACACUUAUGUUUUCUGCCACAGUCCCAGAAGAGGUAUGUCUCUCUUGGAACCUUCUCCCUCCCUCACUUUUUAGUGUUUGGUACUUGGGUUAUAUGUUUCAUGCUUUAGAAAACUCCCAAGCUCAUUCUGAUAUGAUUGUUGUUGCGAAGGUGCGUCAAGUCUGUCAUAUUGCUUUGAGAAGGGAUCAUGAAUAUAUCAAUACAGUUGAAGAGGGUAGUGAGGAGACACAUUCAAAGGUAAUUGUUUAUAGUUUCAUCACUUCAUGCUAGUAGCUAAGAAUGUAUUUCUGUUUGUGACUUUGUGUAUGCAAAUGCACUUGCCACCAUAUAUGCCUUUAGUGCUUAUGUUCUUCUAUGUGUGGGGUUAUGGAUCAUUUCAGGUUCACCAGACACAUUUAGUUGCUACAUUAGACAAGCAUUUCUCUUUUCUCUAUACUCUUCUGAAGGAGCACAUUGCAGAUGAUGUUGAAUAUAAGGUUUGCUUCCUAAUCUGCAAGAUGCAACCAGUUGCAUUGAAUAUUUCUUUUAACUUUUUGUUGUCAUAUUUUUGGAUUAGGCUAUUGCUGCUUAGAUUCUAAAACUUACUUGGCAACAGAGGUUUUUAUUUUUAAAUUAUCACACAUGAUCUGGAAGUAUGUGUGAUAUAGCUAUUGGUUUAUUAGGUUCUUGUUUUCUGCACGACUGCUAUGGUCACAAGACUUGUUGCUGAACUUCUUGCUGAGUUGAAGUUGAAUGUGAGAGAAAUCCAUUCGAGAAAGCCUCAGAGUUAUAGAACCAGAGUCUCUGAGGAGUUUCGGAAGUCAAAGGGUAUCAUUUUAGUUACUUCCGAUGUAUCUGCACGUGGAGUUGAUUAUCCAGAUGUCACUCUUGUUAUACAGGUAAGAAAUGCAGAACUCCUUCGAUGCAUCAUCAUUGCCAUGUCGAUUAUAGCUAUCAGCCUUCUGAACCUUGCUAGCACACAUCCCAGAAGGGUUCACAUGGAUUUAUGGCCUGUUUGUAUAUUCUUUUUGCGUGAAUGCCAAUGCACAUUUGGAAGAGUGCUGAAUGCAUUCUUUGGCUGAAAGUAAAUUCCCAUUGGUGCUGCAAAGAAAGUUAAAACAAUCAGGCUAUAUAUGUUUGAUCAAACAUUUAAUAAUCAUGUAUGCUUUUAAUUUUAAUUCUCAUGUUUGCUCUGUUUGUGAAAUGUGCAGCUUGGUAUACCAGCUGAUAGGGAACAGUAUAUACAUCGACUGGGAAGAACAGGGCGAAAAGGUAAAGAAGGACAGGGCAUAUUGCUACUGGCUCCUUGGGAAGAGUUCUUUCUAUCUACUGCAAAAGAUUUACCAAUUGAGAAAGCUGCAGUACCUUCAGUUGAUCCCGAAACUACGAAAAAGGUAUCGCUUUGAUUUACAUUUUCUUGUUAUACUUUCACAAGUUCAUAACAGAAUCAAUUUGGUGGUAUGCAAUAUCAUUAACCGCAUUCUGAUGUUAACAGGUGGAAAAAGCUCUAGCUCAUGUAGAGAUGAAGAAUAAAGAAGCAGCAUAUCAGGCAUGGCUUGGUUACUACAAUUCGAACAAGAAAAUAGGGAAAGACAAGUAUAGGCUAGUGGAGCUUGCUAAUGAGUUCAGUAGAAGCAUGGGACUUGAUAACCCUCCUGCUAUUCCUAAGCUUGUUCUUGGAAAGAUGGGACUUAGAAAUAUCCCAGGUUUACGUACCAAAUAGUUUAUUUAUUCAAUUCAUUUGCUUAUUAGCCAUGUGGGACAUUUUUUUUGAUGUUAUAGAAUUGAAAUGUUACCUUAUAGUUUUAAAUUGUAAGGCUUGAAACAUCUAAAUUUCGAUUAAAUAACAUCUUUUUUUGCUUUUUGUCUGCUAUACCAAAGUCCUUUUACAUAUUAAUUUUGGUUUCAAUUGAAUUAUCUUUUUAUAACUUAAAUUGAAUUGUGAUGCCAGAUCCACUAUGUUUCAACAUACAAUGUCCUAGCUUGACAAAAUUAUUUAUAGAUUAAAACAUACUCUGUACAGGAGUUUGUUAUUUGUACGUAGUGUUACAUUAAAUGUAGUGGUGGGCCAAGAUUGAUAAUGCAACUUCUAAUUAUAAUUUUAAUCAUAUAGAACAUAGGGAAAUGAAAGUUUAAAGAGAAAAAAAUAUAUGCAAUGAUGAUGUAUGAGUUUUAUAUAUUGUCAUUAUAUCAUUUAUCCUUCGUGUUUAAUCAUCAUUAACUUUUCAAGAAAAAUAAUAUAAAUGAAUGAUGUAAAUGUAUAUAAAUUUUUACAGAAAUGGUGUAUAGAUAUUAUAUUUAAGUUUAAAUUGAUGCUAAUGAGAAAUUUCAUAUAUUAAUGUUUGAAUAUGCAAUAUAGUGGAAGUUCAAGACAUCCCUCUAGUGUAAAAGUACUUCAUCCCGUUCAAAAAUACUCUUUAACUUUUAAUGUAGGAUUCAGCCAUGAGCUUCAAAACAUGUGCCCUGAUCUUUGCUUUGACGUUUUCAUUAUUCAAUUUUAAUGUUUUAGAUGGCAAAGGACUAUUUUAUAUCAUAUCCAAAGUUUAAGGUCCCCUUUAUACAUUUUCAGAACUCAUGGACUACAUUGCAUAUCAUACAUGCAAAUUUCUUGGAUGAUUUUGGACUUUUCCCUAAAUAUAAAUAAACAAUUAAGGUAAACACCAUUUCAUUAGAUAAUGUUAUAAUGUUAACAACAAUAAACAUUAAAUAGAGCUUGAGUUUUCUUAGAACAUGUAGAAAACGAAGCACCCAAUAACGGACUAAAACAUUUGUUGUCAUCCUCACUAAUAUUUUGACCUCUGAUUAUGCUAUGAAGCGGUUCUUGGUAUCUUUAAGAAACUAAGGAUCAACUUUCAUGGAGAUCAAGAUUUCGAAGGGAAUUGAAAGAGCAAAAAGAUAACAAAAUGCACUGAACUUUCAUUAUUAGAAUAUCAUCCUAUACAAAGCAAAGUGCAAGAAUUUAUACAAUGAAAAACUUGAUUGUUACUUGAAACUCAAACUACCAUUUAAAGUAAACAUAAUCCUAACUACCAUAACCGAAUAUAAGCCAUAUUUAACAUCUCUCAAGCUGGGGAGUGAAUAUCAUUAACUCUCAGCUUGGGUAGAAGGUACCAAACGUGAAAAAUCGGAUCUUUGUCACAUCCUCCGUUAUGUCAAGAUUGGAAAUUUUUUGGUGAAGACUUGAAUACUCAAGUAAAAUUACAUGUAGCCAUGAAGUCAUCAAAUAUUGAGUGGCAAUCUUGGAGAUGAAAACCAAAAAUAUCGAGGAAUAAGAGGAAGAGAAAGAAAAUAAUGAUCCCAAAUAUGUCAUUAGAGUCUUAGAGAAAUUUCAAGAGAUAUAAGAAUUCUUCAAAAUAUAGCACAUGAAACUAGGAAUAUUGUGCUAGUAGAAUUAAUAGAAGAAAUAUAAGAAUUCUUAAAAAAAAGAAUGAAUUAAAAUUGAAAGUAGUUGUUCAUCAAGAACCAACAUAAUAGAAAAAAAGAUCAAAUGAGAUCAAUGAUAUUAUUGCUCAAGAAUACCAUAUUGAUUUCUUGGCCAAAGAAUGAAAGAAAUUUGGGCAAUACGUGCCUCAAGAAUAUCAAGAAGAAUAUGUUGAACUAUGAGCAUUUUUUUUGCUCAAGGAUAACAAGAGAGAAUUUUUUUUUUGAUGAAAUAUGAGCAACAUUUGCUCAAGAAUAACAAGAGAAUAAUAUGGGCAAUAUUUGCCUCAAAAAUAUUGAGAAGAAUUAAGAGAAAUAGAGAAUAUGAAGAUUGAAAAAGAGAAUGGUAAAUAAAGAUCAACCAAGAAGGAUAGUAAUUGUGAUUUAAGCAACGAUAAGGAUACAGAGAUGAAGGUGAACUUUUGAUCUCAACUGAAUGUUUCCACGGUCUCGAAGCACUGAAACAUCUUUGUGGAUUUGUUGAUAAUAAUCUUCUUGAAUGUAUCUAUUUGAGCCAAGAAGAAAAGAACUGGCCAGAAAAAUUUUGAUAUGCAGUGUGAGCAGGUGGAGUAUUAUCAUCACCAUCUUCAUUAUUAUGACAGUCCCAUGAGUAUCCAAUCAUUCUGACCUUCUCUCAUAUCCAAAUAUGCAAGUAGAUUGGAAAGUGAGGAAUUCACAUUGCUCUUCGUUAUAUAGAGGAUGUGACAUCUUCAAUAAUAACAUGAUGGCUAACUUCUUCAUUGGCCAUAUUGGUUGUAUAGUCUGGAGCAGAUCCAAAUAGGUUGAAGUGAGGUGAUUUGUUGUUGAGGGUGGCAGAGGGCAGUCUGUUGAUAAGGUACACAGCUGUAGUGAAAGCAUAUUCCCAGAAUGAUGGAGGUAAACCAGCAUGAGCUAAUAAAGUUAGCCCUGUUUCAACUAUAUGUGUGUGUUUUCUUUCCACUGUGCCUCGUUGAUGAUGAGUGUGGGGGCAUGACAAUCUGUGGAGGAUGCCUUGAUUGGAGAGGUAGUUAGUAAAAGGUCUGAACUCUCCCCCUCCAUCAGUUUGAACAGCCUUGAUGGUUUUGUUAAACUGAGUGAGAAUCAGUUUGGUAAAUUUUGUGAAGAUGUUAAGGGUUUCAGAUUUUUGUGUAAGUAAAAAUAUCCAAGUAUGUUUGGUUUUGGCAUCCACAAUGGAGAGAUAGUAUUUAAAACCAGAUUCAGAGAUAACUGGUGAGGGCCCCCAUAGGUCUAGAUAAAGUAAGUCAAAUGCAUUAGAAUAAGAGGUGAUGGAGUUAGGAGAGUGAAGUCUAUGGGACUUGCCAUAACAACAUGCAUUGCAAAAAUCAGGAAUUGUUUUAUUUGAAUGAGAAAUAUUACAAGUAGAGAGGACAAUGUUUAUAAUAGAGGUGUGAGCAUGCCCUAAACGACAGUGCCACAAGAAUUCAGUAGAAAAAUGCCUAGAAGUAGGACUAUCUAAUACAGGGGACUUGAACUGUCCAGUUGGAGUAGGAGUUGAGGCAUAGUAGGCUGACUUUUGUGGAAAUAGGCUCUGGAAGGCAUAGAGACCCUCAGAGGUAAGGGAUCCUUUGAGAAGAAUAGUGUUAGAACCCUGUGAUUUGACAAAACAGUCAUUAGGAUGAAACUUAAAAUAACAGUUAUUAUCUUUAGCAAAUUGGGAAACACUGAUUAGGUUCUUGGUAAUAGUAGGCACAAGAAGUAGAUUAUGUAAAGAUAAAGACAAGUGAGGGUGUAAAGGAGAGGUGAAAGUGCUUGUGCCACUGCAAGAAAUAGGUUCUUUUGUGCCAUUACCCAUGUAGAGGUGUUCAGGACCAAAUUGUUCUGUUGUUUGGUGAACCAGAGUAGGAUCUGAUGUAUUCAUUACACUUUGAUUCUUAUUGGUUAUUUGAUGCUUAAUGUUUAAUUGAGGUUGAUGCCAUUUUUGUAUGAUAUUGCAAUUAUGAAUGCAUGAAUGAAUUCUCAUUCUAAAACCUGAAUAGUUCAUCAUAUUGGUAUAAUUGCUAUACAUAAAUUUGUAUCAAUAUAUAACAUUUUGUAUGUUGUUGAUUUAGUUACUAGAUAUAAAUAUAUUUUCACAACUAAAUAAUUCUCAUAUUUAUUAACAUAGUUGCUAGAUAUAAAUGUGUGUUAAGGGAUCAUAAAUCUCCAUCUUGUUAGUACAAUUGUUAGACAUAGAGCAAUAUUAAUGAAUUACUAAUAUGACUAAUAAAUUAAAGAUUAAUACCAUCAAGGUGUUACACUAAUUAUCACUUUUACAGCAAUAUGCUAGACAUAUGACUUUGUUUGUCGAUUAUAAUUAUGAGUGUAAAGUAUGUGUAUUGACAAUGUAAAAAUUUAUACAUAGUCAGUGUAUUAUCUACCAUUUAUUUGCAAUACUUUUAUUUUAAAGUCAAUGAUAACUAAAAAUCAAUGUGGAUGAUGUAGUGACAAUAUGAAAACUUUUACACUAUCAAUGUAUAUAUCUUUUUCCCUAUAAUUAUUCAUCUUCUGAGUAGAGUUACUAAAUAGAGCUUUAUUCAUAAGCUAUUAAUUUGAAAAGACAUUAAUAUUUAAUAUUAUUGAUAUCUCAAUUUGUCCAUGAUAACAUCUUAGUUUGAUGCAUAAGUAUUGUCAAAUCGAGUAUAUAUAGAUAAUGAAUAGUAAAGUAUAAUCUCAAUAUCUUCUAUUUAAUGGUUUAUCAAAUUGUUUUUAGUUUAUUUAUGCAACCAAACCAACAAAUUACUUAUAAAAUUUUACUUAGAAUAACAAUUUUCAGCUAUACAUGACUUAUUGUCAAGCAAACCUUUGUGGAAUCAACAAUCUUUAUAUUUGUUUGUGACAACUCGAUUUAGUAAUUUAAUUGACCAAUUUGUCGGUAAGCAAUAAUAAUUGAGAAAAAGCGUACGUACUAAUACUGUAUGAGUUUUAUAUACUAUCAUUAUAUCAUUUAUCACUCAUGUUUAAUCAUCAUCAACUCUUCGAAAAAAUAAUAUAAAUGAACGAUGAAUCAUUUAUUAACUCUGAAUAAAUCUUUAUAUUGAUAAUGUAUAAAUAUUAUACUUAUACUAAUUAUAAUUAUUUGUAAAUUUUUUAUUAAUCAAAACAAUUGAUUGAUUUUGUAACUAAUUUUUUUGAUAUGUCUGAAGUUAAUUGAGCUUUUUUAUAUAUUAUAAAAUAGAGUAAAUGAAGUAUAAUGUAGAUUAUAAUUUAGGCCAUUUUGAAAUUUGAUUAUAAAUUAAAAAAAAUGUCUUAAACCCUAAUGCCUUGUUCGUACUAUCUCUAUCUCAUCCACAAAAACCCUCUCUACUCUCUUCUCAUUUUCUCUUCUUCCUUUUUCUUCUUCUUCUUCUUCUGCUACUAUGCCUACUAAGGUUCUCUUAUCUCAACUUCGCACUUCUUUCACUUUCACCAUGAACCCUCUUUCUUCACGCGCCACGCUUCCCAUUUUCUCACCCAUCUUAUUCUCUUUCAACCUCAAACACCUUCCCCUCCAAAACGCACCGUUUCAUCUUCGCCCAUUAUCCACCCACAGUAGCAGUGGUAGCAGAGGAAAGGUUCGUGCUUCCAAGAGUCUUAUUGAUGAAGAGUCUGAACUCAGUGGCUGGGUUAGCGAGUUAAGGACCGAUUCCUACCGUGGUCGACUCACCAGUGAUGAUGAUGAUAAUAGGGACUCUGUCAGAGGAAGAGGAAGUGGAAUGGGAAGAGGAAGAGGCGGAGGAAGAGGAGGAGGAAGAGGAAGGGGUGGUAGUGGUGGCGGUGGUGGUGGUAGAAUCGAUGAGUCAACUCGGA
rnacentral:lncRNA from 1 species